GACGAACGCUGGCGGCGUGCCUAAUACAUGCAAGUUGAGCGCUGAAGGUUGGUACUUGUACCAACUGGAUGAGCAGCGAACGGGUGAGUAACGCGUGGGGAAUCUGCCUUUGAGCGGGGGACAACAUUUGGAAACGAAUGCUAAUACCGCAUAAAAACUUUAAACACAAGUUUUAAGUUUGAAAGAUGCAAUUGCAUCACUCAAAGAUGAUCCCGCGUUGUAUUAGCUAGUUGGUGAGGUAAAGGCUGACCAAUGCGAUGAUACAUAGCCGACCUGAGAGGGUGAUCAGCCACAUUGGGACUAGGAGACGGCCCAAACCCCUACGGGAGGCAGCAGUAGGGAAUCUUCGGCAAUGGACGAAAGUCUGACCGAGCAACGCCGCGGGAGUGAAGAAGGUUUUCGGAUCGUAAAACUCUGUUGGUAGAGAAGAACGUUGGUGAGAGUGGAAAGCUCAUCAAGUGACGGUAACUACCCAGAAAGGGACGGCUAACUACGUG
rnacentral:rRNA from 1 species